AACGAACGCUGGCGGCAUGCCUAACACAUGCAAGUCGAACGAGACCUUCGGGUCUAGUGGCGCACGGGUGCGUAACGCGUGGGAACCUGCCCUUAGGUUCGGAAUACCUCCCCGAAAGGGGUGCUAAUACCGGAUAAUGUCUUCGGACCAAAGAUUUAUCGCCUUUGGAUGGGCCCGCGUUGGAUUCGCUAGUUGGUAGGGUAAAAGCCUACCAAGGCGACUAUCCAUAGCUGGUCUGGGAGGAUGAUCAGCCACACUGGGACUGAGACACGGCCCAGACUCCUACGGGAGGCAGCAGUGGGGAAUAUUGGACGAUGGGCGAAAGCCUGAUCCAGCAAUGCCGCGUGAGUGAUGAAGGCCUUAGGGUUGUAAAGCUCUUUUACCCGGGAUGAUAAUGACAGUACCGGGAGAAUAAGCUCCGGCUAACUCCGUG
rnacentral:rRNA from 1 species